rnacentral:rRNA from 1 species
AGUGAACGCUGGCGGUAGGCCUAACACAUGCAAGUCGAACGGCAGCACAGUAAGAGCUUGCUCUUACGGGUGGCGAGUGGCGGACGAGUGAGGAAUACAUCGGAAUCUACUUUUUCGUGGGGGAUAACGUAGGGAAACUUACGCUAAUACCGCAUACGACCACGGGUGAAAGCAGGGGAUCUUCGGACCUUGCGCGAUUGAAUGAGCCGAUGUCGGAUUAGCUAGUUGGCGGGGUAAAGGCCCACCAAGGCGACGAUCCGUAGCUGGUCUGAGAGGAUGAUCAGCCACACUGGAACUGAGACACGGUCCAGACUCCUACGGGAGGCAGCAGUGGGGAAUAUUGGACAAUGGGCGCAAGCCUGAUCCAGCCAUACCGCGUGGGUGAAGAAGGCCUUCGGGUUGUAAAGCCCUUUUGUUGGGAAAGAAAAGCAGCAGGUUAAUACCCCGCUGUUCUGACGGUACCCAAAGAAUAAGCACCGGCUAACUUCGUG